AGGCCUAUAGCUCAGAGGCUUAGAGCACGUGGCUGCGAACCUCGGUUUCAGGGGUUCAAAUCCCUCCUCGCCCA
rnacentral:tRNA from 1 species